UAUGACAGUAAAUAAUUUCUGCGAUUCGCCCUUAGAGUUUGAUCCUGGCUCAGAAUCAACGCUGGCGGCAUGCCUUACACAUGCAAGUCGAACGCGAAAGCGCUUUCGGGCGUUAGUAGAGUGGCAAACGGGUGAGUAACGCGUGGGAAUCUGCCUUAUAGUACGGGAUAGCCUUGGGAAACUGGGAUUAAUACCGCAUACGCCCUCCGGGGGAAAGAUUUAUCGCUAUAAGAUGAGCCCGCGUAAGAUUAGCUAGUUGGUGGGGUAAUAGCCUACCAAGGCAACGAUCUUUAGCUGGUCUGAGAGGACGAUCAGCCACAUUGGGACUGAGACACGGCCCAAACUCCUACGGGAGGCAGCAGUGGGGAAUAUUGGACAAUGGGCGAAAGCCUGAUCCAGCAAUGCCGCGUGAAUGAUGAAGGCCUUAGGGUUGUAAAGUUCUUUUAGUGGGGAAGAUAAUGACGGUACCCACAGAAAAAGCACCGGCUAACUUCGUGCCAGCAGCCGCGGUAAUACGGAGGGGGCUAGCGUUGUUCGGAAUUACUGGGCGUAAAGCGCACGUAGGCGGCUCUGUAAGUUAGAGGUGAAAGCCCGGGGCUCAACUCCGGAAUUGCCUUUAAGACUGCAUCGCUAGAAUUGUGGAGAGGUAAGUGGAAUUCCGAGUGUA
rnacentral:rRNA from 1 species